CACUCCUGCGGGAGGCAGCAGUGGGGAAUUUUGGACAAUGGGCGAAAGCCUGAUCCAGCCAUGCCGCGUGCAGGAUGAAGGCCUUCGGGUUGUAAACUGCUUUUGUACGGAACGAAACGGCCUUUUCUAAUAAAGAGGGCUAAUGACGGUACCGUAAGAAUAAGCACCGGCUAACUACGUGCCAGCAGCCGCGGUAAUACGUAGGGUGCAAGCGUUAAUCGGAAUUACUGGGCGUAAAGCGUGCGCAGGCGGUUAUGUAAGACAGUUGUGAAAUCCCCGGGCUCAACCUGGGAACUGCAUCUGUGACUGCAUAGCUAGAGUACGGUAGAGGGGGAUGGAAUUCCGCGUGUAGCAGUGAAAUGCGUAGAUAUGCGGAGGAACACCGAUGGCGAAGGCAAUCCCCUGGACCUGUACUGACGCUCAUGCACGAAAGCGUGGGGAGCAAACAGGAUUAGAAACCCCAGUAGUCCC
rnacentral:rRNA from 1 species